UAACCACAUAGGACGAUACCAGCUGAAUAUCAACCCUAAACGAAGUUAAGCAAGAAUACAGAGGACUACUUGAGUAAAUUUCACUUGAGAGGCAUUGUCAAUGCUAUAGGAUGUCUCCAGGAAGAAAUAGCCCUAUUGGCUGGAGAGGAAGACUAAAGCUUAAACAGGGUUGCCGGAGAAGCCUUCUCUACUUUUGCACUCCAGGUGAAGAGGCUCUGCGAUCUGCUCCCAUGCCAGCACAGCAUUGA
rnacentral:lncRNA from 1 species